rnacentral:sRNA from 1 species
AUUGGCCUGGCAGGCAGGAUCGAGGAGGAAGUGGCUGAUUACUGAGCGGUUCUUCCUCACCUGGCUUGGGCCACUGUGCACAGCUGUGCCACUGGCUCAGCCCCGCCCCCUGCGGCCCUCCGCCGUGGCUUCCCCAUCCCUACAGAGAGAUGCUGUCCCAUGGGACCUCAGCCGAUCCCUGCCCUCCUGCCUCUACUCCUGCACCGACUGGCCUCACCGCCUGGUGCCCUGCAGGGUGGGGGAUCAGGUGACCCAUAUUCGGAUCCAGAACUCAGGGGAUUUCUAUGACCUGUAUGGAGGGGAGAAGUUCGCGACUCUGACAGAGCUGGUGGAGUACUACACUCAGCAGCAGGGCGUCCUGCAGGACCGCGACGGCACCAUCAUCCACCUCAAGUACCCGCUGAACUGCUCCGAUCCCACUAGUGAGAGGUGGUACCAUGGCCACAUGUCUGGCGGGCAGGCAGAGACGCUGCUGCAGGCCAAGGGCGAGCCCUGGACGUUUCUUGUGCGUGAGAGCCUCAGCCAGCCUGGAGACUUCGUGCUGUCUGUGCUCAGUGACCAGCC